GGGUGCAUGGUCUAGUGGUAUGAUUUUCGCUUCGCAUGUUGAAUGCCAAUGUGAAAGGUCCCCGGUUCGAUCCCGGGUGUAUCCA